GAUGAAGAACGCAGCGAAAUGCGAUACGUAAUGUGAAUUGCAGAAUUCAGUGAAUCAUCGAAUCUUUGAACGCAUAUUGCGCUCUUUGGUAUUCCGAAGAGCAUGCUUGUUUGAGUAUCAGUAAACACCUCAAAGACUUCAAUUUGUUUUGAAUGGCUUUGGACUUGAGCAAUCCCAACACCAGUCUUUACGAUCGGUGGAGGGUUGCUUGAAAUGCAGGUGCAGCUGGACAUUCUCCUGAGCUAAAAGCAUAUUUAUUUAGUCCCGUCAAACGGAUUAUUACUUUUGCUGCAGCUAACAUAAAGGGAGUUUGACCGUAUUGGCUGACUGANGNAGGAUUUCACAAGGGUCGGCAACGAUUCUUGUAAAACUCGAUCUCAAAUCAAGUAAGACUACCCGCUGAACUUAAGCAUAUCAAUAAGCGGAGGA
rnacentral:misc_RNA from 1 species